rnacentral:rRNA from 1 species
AUGAACGCUAGCGGCAGGCUUAACACAUGCAAGUCGAGGGGCAGCAGGAGUAGCAAUACUUGCUGGCGACCGGCAAACGGGUGCGGAACACGUACGCAAUCUACCUUCAACUGGGGCAUAGCCCGAAGAAAUUCGGAUUAACACCCCAUAACAUAACUAACAGGCAUCUGUUUGGUUAUUAAAACUGAGGUGGUUGGAGAUGAGCGUGCGUCCCAUUAGAUAGUUGGUAGGGUAACGGCCUACCAAGUCGACGAUGGGUAGCUGAUGUGAGAGCAUGAUCAGCCACACGGGCACUGAGACACGGGCCCGACUCCUACGGGAGGCAGCAGUGAGGAAUAUUGGUCAAUGGACGCAAGUCUGAACCAGCCAUGCCGCGUGCAGGAUGAAGGCCUUCUGGGUUGUAAACUGCUUUUAUCAGGGAAGAAACCACAGAUUUCUAUUUGUGCCGACGGUACCUGAGGAAUAAGCACCGGCUAACUCCGUG